CCAGGCUGAGCCAUACUGAUUGCUAACAAUUCCUGUGAUUGUUAUUCUCAUGUUUGGGGUUAAUCUCUCUGGAAGCCUUUGUCGAUUGCCAUAAGUUCCUGCCCUUCCUUUGUCUUUUAGCUCCAGUCAUUCUUUCUCCCUGCCGAGCCAGCAUCCAGAGUAGUGUUGUUCUUUGGAGAGGUACUUGAAUCGUGCCCUUCUGUGGGUGAGCUGAAUGAAUUGGCUGAUGGGGAAGCUGGAGGUUCCUCUUGCUGCAGCUGGAAACAAGGAGAAGAGCCAGCACUGUGUGACCUGCCAGCUCUCUAUGGAUUGUCAGUGGUCAAUGGAGCACAGAUUUCAGAACUGCUCUCCAGGAUGCUGUCCUUCCUCACAGCUCUUUGCUCAGUGAGUGAAACACAUACCACCUGAGAACCGGAGAUGUUCUCUUUAGAGAGACUAGAACCAAAGUUUUGUCUCAAGAACACAGAGAAGAAAAGCAACUCCUUUGAUUACAAAGCAAUAAUUGCACCAUCCCUGGGCAACUUCUCCAAAUCUUCCAUUUGUUCCUUCACUGUUCCUAUUUCACUAUUGGGUU
rnacentral:lncRNA from 1 species